rnacentral:rRNA from 1 species
UACGAAGGGGGCUAGCGUUGCUCGGAAUUACUGGGCGUAAAGGGCGCGUAGGCGGCACUGUUAGUCAGGCGUGAAAGCCCUGGGCUCAACCUGGGAAUUGCAGUGGAUACUGGCGAGCUAGAGUGCGGUAGAGGAUGGUGGAAUUCCCGGUGUAGCGGUGAAAUGCGUAGAGAUCGGGAGGAACACCCGUGGCGAAGGCGGCCAUCUGGACCAGCACUGACGCUGAGGCACGAAAGCGUGGGGAGCAAACAGG